UACGGGGGGAGCAAGCGUUGUUCGGAUUUACUGGGCGUAAAGGGCGCGUAGGCGGCCACCGCAAGUCGACUGUGAAAUCUCCGGGCUUAACCCGGAAAGGUCAGCCGAUACUGCGGGGCUAGAGUGCAGAAGGGGCAACUGGAAUUCUCGGUGUAGCGGUGAAAUGCGCAGAUAUCGGGAGGAACACCGGUGGCGAAGGCGGUUCUCUGGGCCUUACCUGACGCUGAGGAGCGAAAGCGUGGGGAGCGAACAGG
rnacentral:rRNA from 1 species